rnacentral:rRNA from 1 species
GACGAACGCUGGCGGCGUGCUUAAUACAUGCAAGUCGAGCGAGAAAGCUCCUUCGGGAGUGAGUACAGCGGCGAACGGGUGAGUAACACGUGGGCAACCUGCCCAAGGGAGCGGGACAACCCGAGGAAACUCGGGCUAAUACCGCAUGAUGUGUCAUGUCAUAAGGCGUGACACCAAAAGGUAGCUUCGGACUCCGCCCUUGGAUGGGCCCGCGGCGCAUUGGCUUGUUGGUGGGGUAACGGCCUACCAAGGCGACGAUGCGUAGCUGGUCUGAGAGGCCGAUCGGCCACGCUGGGCCUGAGACACGGCCCAGACUCCUACGGGAGGCAGCAGUAGGGAAUCUUGCGCAAUGGGCGAAAGCCUGACGCAGCAACGCCGCGUGAGGGAAGAAGGCUCUCGGGUUGUAAACCUCUUUCAGGUGGGACGAAGCUUCCAGGGUUAAUAGCCCAUGGGGUGACGGUACCUCCAGAAGAAGCCCCGGCUAACUACGUGCCAGCCGCCGCGGUAACAC